AGACUGAUCUGAAGAACAUGCCUUUUUCUUCGUUCGUACCCUUCCCGUUGACAUUGUAUUGUUAGAUCUGAAGAAAGGCUGUUCCAGAUCAGCAUAUCCUGGAUUUCAAUAAUCUGAUUUGCAUUACGUGAAGACCUGGACUGGAAUUUGGGUUGGCAAAGAGAACAGACAUCAGCUCAAUGCUGAUGCAAGCAUUCAAAUACCACUUGGAGUAACACUCAUCCUGCUAACUACUGAUUUAUUGGCAGCAAGAGAUUUGCACUGUAAAGCACUUUUCCAAACAGUGUACUGAAGAGACAUUUAAUACCAGAUGAGCAACCAGUUCCAAGACUUGCACAGCCUCCUAUGAAAAGAGAUCAGAAUUUGAAGUCUGGACUGCCAUUAUAUUGCAGCUGUGAUUGGAAUAUUACAAAGUUUGUUAUUAGGUAUUCUACAGGACAAAAUAAAAUAUUUACAGCAUGA